GCUCUGGGAUCAUAAAAAAUUAUCUCUAAAUCUAAUGUUUAAGGUGGGUCCCCUGUAUGUGUGUUUGAUUCAGAGUCUCAUAAAAUUCAUGCCGGCUUCAAAAUCACUAUGUAGCCAAAUGUUGUCUUAAAUAUCUGAUCCUCCUUCGACAUGGACCACCAUGUCCAGUGUGUGCACUGCUGGGGAUGUAGCCCAAGGCUUCCUGCUCAUCAUGAAAGCACUCUGACAGCUGAGCUACAUGCUCCGUCCUUGCUUACUUCUAAUACUCAAUCCUUUGAGGCUGUGAGCACUUGUUAUUAUUUUACAGUUCUUUGUUUAGUUUUGCUUUGCUUUAAAUUAUUCACUAACUCCCUUUGUGGUCAAAGAUGAUUGACCAUAUCUCUAAAACAGAUAGCAUGAAAUACAUGUCUUAAAAGUUACACAUUGUUUUGGAAAUCUUCUGAGAAGAUAUGGAUAUGAAAAUACUUAAAAU
rnacentral:lncRNA from 1 species